GAGUGAACGCUGGCGGUAGGCCUAACACAUGCAAGUCGAACGGCAGCACAGUAAGAGCUUGCUCUUACGGGUGGCGAGUGGCGGACGGGUGAGGAAUACAUCGGAAUCUACUUUUUCGUGGGGGAUAACGUAGGGAAACUUACGCUAAUACCGCAUACGACCUACGGGUGAAAGCAGGGGAUCUUCGGACCUUGCGCGAUUGAAUGAGCCGAUGUCGGAUUAGCUAGUUGGCGGGGUAAAGGCCCACCAAGGCGACGAUCCGUAGCUGGUCUGAGAGGAUGAUCAGCCACACUGGAACUGAGACACGGUCCAGACUCCUACGGGAGGCAGCAGUGGGGAAUAUUGGACAAUGGGCGCAAGCCUGAUCCAGCCAUACCGCGUGGGUGAAGAAGGCCUUCGGGUUGUAAAGCCCUUUUGUUGGGAAAGAAAAGCAGCAGGUUAAUACCCCGCUGUUCUGGCGGUACCCAAAGAAUAAGCACCGGCUAACUUCGUG
rnacentral:rRNA from 1 species